AACGCGAAGAACCUUACCUGGGCUCGAACGGCUCACGAACGUCCUUGGAAACAGGGAUUUCCCGCAAGGGACGGGAGUCGAGGUGCUGCAUGGCUGUCGUCAGCUCGUGUCGUGAGAUGUUGGGUUAAGUCCCGCAACGAGCGCAACCCUUGUCCUGUGUUGCCAUCAUUCAGUUGGGAACUCGCAGGAGACCGCCAGCGAUAAGCUGGAGGAAGGUGGGGAUGACGUCAAGUCCUCAUGGCCUUUAUGUCCAGGGCUACACACGUGCUACAAUGGCCGGUACAAUGCGCUGCUAAGUCGCAAGACGGAGCCAAUCGCAAAAAACCGGUCUCAGUUCGGAUUGCAGGCUGCAACUCGCCUGCAUGAAGCUGGAAUCGCUAGUAAUGGCAUAUCAGAACGAUGCCGUGAAUACGUUCCCGGGCCUUGUACACACCGCACUACUA
rnacentral:rRNA from 1 species